rnacentral:siRNA from 1 species
AAUGUGGCAAGGCCAUAGCCGC